rnacentral:rRNA from 1 species
GAUCAUUACAAGAAGCCGAAAGGCUACUUCAAACCAUCGCGAACUCGUCCAAGUUGCUUCGGCGGCGCGGCACCCCCUAACGGGGGCGCCGCAGCCCUGCCUCUCCGGAGGUUCGGGGCGCCCGCCGGAGGUACGAAACUCUGUAUUAUAGUGGCAUCUCUGAGUAUAAAGCAAAUAAGUUAAAACUUUCAACAACGGAUCUCUUGGCUCUGGCAUCGAUGAAGAACGCAGCGAAAUGCGAUAAGUAAUGUGAAUUGCAGAAUUCAGUGAAUCAUCGAAUCUUUGAACGCACAUUGCGCCCGGUAGUACUCUACCGGGCAUGCCUGUUCGAGCGUCAUUUCAACCCUCAAGCCCUGCUUGGUGUUGGGGCCCUACGGCUGCCGUAGGCCCUGAAAGGAAGUGGCGGGCUCGCUACAACUCCGAGCGUAGUAAUUCAUUAUCUCGCUAGGGAGGUUGCGGCGUGCUCCUGCCGUUAAAGACCCAUCUUUAACCAAGGUUGACCUCGGAUCAGGUAGGAAUACCCGCUGAACUUAAGCAUAUCAAUAAGCGGAGGAAAAGAAACCAACAGGGAUUGCCCUAGUAACGGCGAGUGAAGCGGCAACAGCUCAAAUUUGAAAUCUGGCUUCGGCCCGAGUUGUAAUUUGUAGAGGAUGCUUUUGGUGAGGUGCCUUCUGAGUUCCCUGGAACGGGACGCCAGAGAGGGUGAGAGCCCCGUAUAGUCGGCCACCGAUCCUCUGUAAAGCUCCUUCGACGAGUCGAGUAGUUUGGGAAUGCUGCUCAAAAUGGGAGGUAUAUCUCUUCUAAAGCUAAAUAUAGGCCAGAGACCGAUAGCGCACAAGUAGAGUGAUCGAAAGAUGAAAAGCACUUUGAAAAGAGGGUUAAAUAGCACGUGAAAUUGUUGAAAGGGAAGCGCUUGUGACCAGACUUGUGCCGGGCUGAUCAUCCAGUGUUCUCACUGGUGCACUCGACCCGGCUCAGGCCAGCGUCGGUUUUCGCGGGGGGAUAAAAGCUUCGGGAACGUGGCACCUUCGGGUGUGUUAUAGCCCGUUGCUUAAUACCUCCGUGGGGACCGAGGU